rnacentral:rRNA from 1 species
ACGAACGCUGGCGGCAUGCCUAAUACAUGCAAGUCGAACGAGAUCUUCGGAUCUAGUGGCGCACGGGUGCGUAACGCGUGGGAAUCUACCCUUGGGUUCGGAAUAACUUCGGGAAACUGAAGCUAAUACCGGAUGAUGACGAAAGUCCAAAGAUUUAUCGCCCAGGGAUGAGCCCGCGUAGGAUUAGCUAGUUGGUGGGGUAAAGGCUCACCAAGGCAACGAUCCUUAGCUGGUCUGAGAGGAUGAUCAGCCACACUGGGACUGAGACACGGCCCAGACUCCUACGGGAGGCAGCAGUAGGGAAUAUUGGACAAUGGGGGCAACCCUGAUCCAGCAAUGCCGCGUGAGUGAUGAAGGCCUUAGGGUUGUAAAGCUCUUUUACCCGAGAUGAUAAUGACAGUAUCGGGAGAAUAAGCUCCGGCUAACUCCGU